UCUAUCUCAAAUUCUCAAUUGCAAGGGUCACUCUCUCAACUCCCUACUACCCCAAUUGGUCCAUGAAAAAGUAAAUUAGUGUUUCUCAGUAACAAGUUCUAUAAUUUCAAAAAUAGAGAACAAACUCAUCAAUGGGCUUGGUGGGAUGAAUACCAUUUUUUUGUCGUACUUAAUUAAAGGUUUCGGAUUCGGUCCCGAAAAUGAGAAGUUCUACUACCUCUUCAAUGAAUCCUACAUGGCGCGAACCCGAAUAAUCGGGUAAGUAAAUUCUGAAUAUGGUUAAGUAAACAAAAUUAGAAAACAUACUGCAGUACCCUCACUGAUCACGUUGCUCCUCCAUUAAAGCUCAUCUCAAGCUAUUUUCACAAAUAAAUGCCAAUUAAGAAUUGCUAGAAAACUAAACAUGAUUGGUGGAAUUUUCCUGUUGGUAUCAUGUGAAAAUAGAGGGGGGGGGGGGGGGGAAGUGUUUGCUUAAGAUCCAAGAAUCUAAGCAUACUUAAAUCUUCAGAGCUUCACAAUUACUUGUCAGUAUAGUGUUCCCAGGUAAGAAUUUCUUAUCUGUCGUUAAAAUUUUUGAGAAAAAUUACAGAUUUCAAACUUACUCAUACUUCGUUGAUUUCGGCAAAAGAUUUGAGUUUUUAUUGUUAUACUUGAAAAGAAAAUAUUUAUAUUCCGGAACUGUAUACGAGCUGAACAUUUAUUUAUUGAAUUAUUUCUUGUAUCAUCUUUAUUAUAUAUUGUUAUGAAUUGUUGUUGGUUAUUGGAGUUGGACUCUCACCCUUGUCCCAACUCGUCACUACUUUCAACCUAAGGUUAGGUUUGUUAUUGAGUACAUGAGGUCGAUUGUACUCAUACUAUACUUCUGCACCUUGCGUGCAGAUGUUGGAUGAUGAUGUUGUUGUGCACUACGGGAGCUGGAUCUGAAGAUGUAUAUGCGUUCCGGUUAUAGCUGUCUCUUGAUCUUGGUAGCUUUAGAAUUUUAAUUUGUUCCCGUAUAGUUCAAACAGAUGAUGUACUUUAUUUCAUACCAGCUUUGUAAAUUCUAAAUCUUAGAAGUUCAUAAUUUGUACUACCAGUCCUUGGAAAAUUCUUGUAUAAAACAGUUG
rnacentral:lncRNA from 1 species